rnacentral:misc_RNA from 1 species
AAGAAUAAUUAGUUCUCUCUCUUGUUUAUAGGGAGAGAAAAUCCUCUCAACCAGUUUCUCGUCGUUGGUUUCCUCUUGGGUUUUGCCGAGCGUGCUCUCCAUCUAGCUUCCCUUGUCCUUUGGGGCAAGGGAAGAUGGUGUGUUCCGGCUCGAUCGUGGUUUCCCAUCCCACCUUGGGUUGGUUGUCUAUAGUUUUUGAUGUUGUCUUGUUGAUAACAGACCCUGAAUCUUCAUAAAGAGGGCGAAUUGCUGAUGGUCUAUGAGUAGGAAGCAGUUUUAGUAGUUAUAUUUGCAGGUGUUGUUUUCUCCUGGAUCUGGAUGUUGUGCUCUGUUUGAGGGAAAUGGUUAAUCUUGUUUUAGACGUUUGCA